GGAAACCUUUACCUUAUGUCUUAGAAGCAAUGCUGUGUGCUGGCUCCAAGGCAGAAGAGUGAAACUGUCCCAGAAGGUCACUAUUGCUGAGACAAUGCCAGAUUAAGCUCAGAAGGAUGUCAUUAACACAAUGCCUUACUCCAGGCUCACUUACACCAUACAUUGGAGUGGGGAUGACACCAGCCUCUGCCACUUCUACUGUGCCCUUGCCUCAUUUGCUCCUUUAUAUUUGCACACCGAACAUCUUUCUCUUAAUUGUUGACUGCUUGAACUGUGAUUAAAUGAUGUGAUUUCUCAAA